CGGACGGGUGAGUAAUGUCUGGGAAACUGCCUGAUGGAGGGGGAUAACUACUGGAAACGGUAGCUAAUACCGCAUAACGCCGCAAGACCAAAGGGGGGACCUUAGGGCCUCUUGCCAUCGGAUGUGCCCAGAUGGGAUUAGCUAGUAGGUGGGGUAACGGCUCACCUAGGCGACGAUCCCUAGCUGGUCUGAGAGGAUGAUCAGCCACACUGGGACUGAGACACGGCCCAG
rnacentral:rRNA from 1 species